GACGAACGCUGGCGGCAUGCCUAAUACAUGCAAGUCGAGCGAACAGAUGAAGUGCUUGCACUUCUGACGUUAGCGGCGAACGGGUGAGUAACACGUAAGGAAUCUACCUAUAAGCGGGGGAUAACAUUCGGAAACGGGUGCUAAUACCGCAUAAUAUCUUCUUCCGCAUGGAAGAAGAUUGAAAGACGGCUCUGCUGUCACUUAUAGAUGACCUUGCGGUGCAUUAGUGAGUUGGUGGGGUAACGGCCUACCAAGACGAUGAUGCAUAGCCGACCUGAGGGGGUGAGCGGCCACAUUGGGAGUGAGACACGGCCCAAACUCCUACGGGAGGCAGCAGUAGGGAAUCUUCCGCAAUGGGCGAAAGCCUGACGGAGCAAUGCCGCGUGAGUGAAGAAGGCCUUCGGGUCGUAAAACUCUGUUAUAAGAGAAGAACAAAUUGUAGAGUAACUGCUACAGUCUUGACGGUAUCUUAUCAGAAAGCCACGGCUAACUACGUGCCAGCCGCCGCGGUAA
rnacentral:rRNA from 1 species